UGCCAGACUCCUACGGGAGGCAGCAGUGGGGAAUAUUGCACAAUGGGGGGAACCUUGAUGCAGCAACGCCGCGUGGGUGAAGAAGUACUCCGGUAUGUAAAGCCCUGUCAGCAGGGAAGAAGAAUGACGGUACCUGAAGAAGAAGCACCGGCUAAAUACGUGCCAGCAGCCGCGGUAAUACGUAUGGUGCAAGCGUUAUCCGGAUUUACUGGGCGUAAAGGGAGCGCAGGCGGUUCUGCAAGUCUGAUGUGAAAGCCCGGGGCUCAACCGCGGGACUGCAUUGGAAACUGCGGGACUGGAGUGUCGGAGGGGUAAGCGGAAUUCCUGGUGUAGCGGUGAAAUGCGUAGAUAUCAGGAGGAACACCGGUGGCGAAGGCGGCUUACUGGACGAUGACUGACGCUGAGGCUCGAAAGCGUGGGGAGCAAACAGGAUUAGAUACCCCAGUA
rnacentral:rRNA from 1 species